rnacentral:piRNA from 2 species
UGAGCUCUGAAGUGAGGAGUGAUAUGGC